AACGCAUAUUGCGCCCAUUGGUAUUCCGAUGGGCAUGCCUGUUCGAGCGUCAUUUCACCCCUCAAGUAUCUUAUACUUGGUGUUGGAGCUCUCUAUAGCGGUCCACGCUGUAGGCUCCGAAAGCAAUUGGCGGGCGUUUAGUGAACCCGGACGUAGUAAAACUACUUUUCGUUCAGGGCCUUCUCUAGAUUUCUAGCCGUUAAGCACCCCAAACUUUUACAAGUUGACCUCGGAUCAGGUAGGAAUACCCGCUGAACUUAA
rnacentral:misc_RNA from 1 species